CAAAAGAAUGCUGAAUCCUUAAUGGGCAAUUCAUAGGCCAGAAUAGUGAGAGAUACACAGACAUUCUUGGUAUUAGGAGGAAAAUUAUUUCAUUUCAUUAGUGAACCAAAUGUAAUUACUCGACUACUGUUGUAGCCAAAUUCAGCUGCACUGUACAGAUUGAUUGGUGUGUGUCCUGUCAACUGGUAGGUUUGAAAUAUGGAAUGUGGAAGCUUAAAAAAAAAAAAGUAUUUUUUUCAUUUUUAUAAAAAAAAAAGUAGUGCAAUGGAACUUAACAUGCAAGCUCAUAUUAGAAAUAAAUAUCCAUAUCAGUAUUCAUUUGAUCUUCAUAUGAUUAAAAAAAAAAAAAAAAAAAAAAAACUUAAAAAACAUAUAUGACUACAGUGUCAAUUUGGUAUUUAUACCAUCUUGUUUUAUUUAAUUCUCAAUAACAAAUUCAAUGUGAAGACAUUAAAACUCUACAAAUAGUUACAUUGUUCAAGGAAAUUUCAUUUUUUAUUAUUAUAAUUUUUUUUUUUAGACAUUAAAAUGUCUGCUUAAUUUUUUUAUGCUUGGCAAUGAUUUGUCAUUUAAAUUUGCAACAGGGUAAGCAGUGACACACGCAUACACAAACACAUACACAGUACAAAGAUAUGCACACAUGCGAUUACUGUAUAGAUCACAAAUAUAAAGAAAAUAUAUUAUAGCACUGACACCAUAGAAUCUAAUCAGGAUUUAUCCACUUAGAGUGGGAAGUCUAUUAUGGUAAUCCAAAUCAAGUGUAUGUAUGACCUCAAAAAUAACUAGUUUGUAGAUAAUUCCUCAAAAUUUUAUAUUUUGCAUCCUGAGAUGUUAUAUCUCAUAUGCAAUGACCUACUUAUUGAAUAUACUUAUUUAUGAAUUCUUCCAUGAAGAUCUAUUUGUUGACAUGUUGUGCUUUGUAUUCCUAACUUUCAAAUUACAAUCUAAACAGAGAUAUGCAACUUUUCAAAAAACUGCCCUUAAAAUUAUUUUUAUGAACUAUAAAAUGA